GUAAAUGUGAAAACCAAAGGGAUGGAGUGAGAAUAUAGAGUGAGAGGGAGUGGGGGGCUCUUAAGUCCGUUUGUUCUGGGCUUGAAUCCCACCUGUGGAAUUUACAUAUAGCAUGUGACCCUCAGCCUCAGCUUACACUCUCUAAAAUGGGGGUGGUAGGCUCUGUCUCGCAGGGUUAUGAAGAAUCAAGGAAACGGUGUUUGCACGAGAGCUAGCAGUGGCAGAACACAGAAUGCCGUCUUCAAACUCAAAGAGGCUCCAAAAAUAAGGAUCUGAAUAGGAUAGUGAGGGGCCUAGAAAUGCCCUGUGAGGAAAGGAGUAAGAGACCCAGUCUCUGAAGAGUGGCCACAGAGGAGGGAGGACUGACGUGAAGCCAUCUGAAGAGUGGCCACGGAGGAGGGAGAACCGACAUGAAGCCAUCUGAAGAGUGGCCACGGAGGAGGGAGGACCGACAUGAAGCCAUCUGAAGAGUGGCCACGGAGGAGGGAGGACCGACAUGAAGCCAUCUGAAGAGUGGCCACGGAGGAGGGAGGACCGACGUGAAUCCAUCUGAAGAGUGGCCACGGAGGAGGGAGGACCGACGUGAAUCCAUCUGAAGAGAGGCCACGGAGGAGGGAGGACCGACAUGAAGCCAUCUGAAGAGUGGCCACGGAGGAGGGAGGACCGACGUGAAUCCAUCUGAAGAGUGGCCACGGAGGAGGGAGGACCGAUGUGAAUCCAUCUGAAGAGAGGCCACGGAGGAGGGAGGACCGACAUGAAUCCAUGUGAAGAGUGGCCACGGAGGAGGGAGAACCGACAUGAAGCCAUCUGAAGAGUGGCCACGGAGGAGGGAGGACCGACAUGAAGCCAUCUGAAGAGUGGCCACGGAGGAGGGAGGACCGACAUGAAUCCAUGUGAAGAGUGGCCACGGAGGAGGGAGGACCGACAUGAAGCCAUCUGAAGAGUGGCCACGGAGGAGGGAGGACCGACGUGAAUCCAUCUGAAGAGAGGCCACCGAGGAGGGAGGACCGACAUGAAGCCAUCUGAAGAGUGGCCACGGAGGAGGGAGGACCGACGUGAAUCCAUCUGAAGAGAGGCCACCGAGGAGGGAGGACCGACAUGAAGCCAUCUGAAGAGUGGCCACGGAGGAGGGAGGACCGACAUGAAGCCAUCUGAAGAGUGGCCACGGAGGAGGGAGGACCGACAUGAAUCCAUGUGAAGAGUGGCCACGGAGGAGGGAGGACCGACAUGAAGCCAUCUGAAGAGUGGCCACGGAGGAGGGAGGACCGACAUGAAGCCAUCUGAAGAGUGGCCACGGAGGAGGGAGGACCGACGUGAAUCCAUGUGAAGAGUGGCCACGGAGGAGGGAGGACCGACGUGAAGCUAUCUGAAGAGUGGCCACGGAGGAGGGAGGACCGACGUGAAGCCAUCUGAAGAGUGGCCACGGAGGAGGGAGGACCGACAUGAAUCCAUCUGAAGAGUGGCCACUGAGGAGGGAGGACCGACAUGAAUCCAUGUGAAGAGUGGCCACGGAGGAGGGAGAACCGACAUGAAGCCAUCUGAAGAGUGGCCACGGAGGAGGGAGGACCGACAUGAAGCCAUCUGAAGAGUGGCCACGGAGGAGGGAGGACCGACAUGAAGCCAUCUGAAGAGUGGCCACGGAGGAGGGAGGACCGACAUGAAGCCAUCUGAAGAGUGGCCACGGAGGAGGGAGGACCGACGUGAAGCUAUCUGAAGAGUGGCCACGGAGGAGGGAGGACCGACGUGAAUCCAUCUGAAGAGAGGCCACCGAGGAGGGAGGACCGACGUGAAGCCAUCUGAAGAGUGGCCACGGAGGAGGGAGGACCGACAUGAAUCCAUGUGAAGAGUGGCCACUGAGGAGGGAGGACCGACAUGAAUCCAUGUGAAGAGUGGCCACUGAGGAGGGAGGACCGACGUGAAGCCAUCUGAAGAGUGGCCACGGAGGAGGGAGGACUGACGUGAAUCCAUCUGAAGAGUGGCCACGGAGGAGGGAGGACUGACGUGAAUCCAUCUGAAGAGUGGCCACGGAGGAGGGAGGACUGACGUGAAUCCAUCUGAAGAGUGGCCACGGAGGAGGGAGAACCGACAUGAAGCCAUCUGAAGAGUGGCCACGGAGGAGGGAGGACCGACAUGAAGCCAUCUGAAGAGUGGCCACGGAGGAGGGAGGACCGACAUGAAGCCAUCUGAAGAGUGGCCACGGAGGAGGGAGGACUGACGUGAAUCCAUCUGAAGAGUGACCAUGGAGCAGGGAGGACCGAUGUGAAGCCAUCUGAAGAGUGACCAUGGAGGAGGGAGGACUGACGUGAAUCCAGCAUGUGAGCCCGGGAGAUGGCACAUCCAGAACCAGUGGGUGCAAGGCCCAGGGCAGCCGAAGUCUUCUCCACCUAAGGGGUUUCGGCAGAGUUGUCUAAAACUCAAUACUCCGCCUUACUACAGACCGUGUUCCCCACCAGAAGAACUGAGCUCACUUACGCAGUCAACAAAUACCACCUAUGGGCUGUCCCCACUUGGAUGUUGGCUGGGCUCCACAACUUCAUAGGUCCUGAACAAGAUGCUUGAUUUCCCUCUUCGAACCUGUCUUCCUCACUGCAGUCUGUGCUACGACCAUCCACUCCAUAGCGGAAGCCCAAACCCGCUAGUAGCCUCAAUUUCUUCCCUCGCCUCGUAUCACACCCCUCCCAUCCCAUUCAUGAACAAACUCUAUAGAUUCUCUCUCCAGAUAUGUCUCACAUCCCUCCACUUCUUUUGUCUCUGCAGCCCUCAGUGCAAGCGCCUGCCCCCUCCCACCUGGCUUCCUGCAGGAACCACCCAGCUUGCCUCCUUGCUUCCUGUCUCACUCCACCUAGUCC
rnacentral:lncRNA from 10 species